rnacentral:lncRNA from 1 species
UGAGAAAGAGAAGAACCUGGAGAGAAGAGAUAUAACGCGGGAAGAGGGGUUACAUCGCCGGCGAAGGGGACUGGACUGCCGACAAGGGCAGUGGCUGGUGUCCUCUAGACUCUAAGAUCAUUACAGUAGCGCCAAGAAGUGGAUGUGCCCCAAGCCAAGCAUCAGCAUCCUUAGACAGACUGAUACAUGGAAUCUCCAAGACCUGACCCAAGACCUGACUCUUCACAUCGCUCUCCCUAAUUAAGCACCAAUGUGAUCAGCCUCGGAACUCUGGGUAACCCACUCCAAACGCCACCUCCAUUAAACGGAUACAAGGAGCCAUAGAA